UCCCUCUCCUGCCACCUCUGGACUCCCUCUCCCGCAGCUGCAGGAGGCCGUACUGUCACCCAGGCAGCCCUACCCUUGUGAGCACCCGAGGAGUGGGCAGAAGCACAGGCACAUGACAACACGAGACCCUGGACCCCUUCAGGAGCCAUGCGGAAAGACAUGGGGAGCACUUAGGAAGGCCCCCCAAGGUGCGGUCCACAGGUUGUUUAUGAUAUAAUUGGAGAGGCAGACAAGGUCACGCUGAGUUAACUGACCAAGACCUUGGUGUGGCUGAUGACCCCAGAAAGGGAGAGGACAGUGCAGAUGAGAGUCAGAGAGAAUGACCUGGAAGAGGCCAAAGAGGAAGGGGCUUUGGGAGAUGAGGCAGAGAGGAGCAGGAGAAGCUCAGAGGAGCAGAAGAAGCUGGCGCCAAGAGGAAGACUUGUUGGUGGCACAGUGAGCCCGAGACCACGGUGCAGUGGGUGGUGGGAUAGGCAAGACGGAGAGAAGGAGAUGAGUCAGAAAGGCACGUUAAAGGCUGGGUGUUGUGGCUCAUACCUGUAAUCCCAGAACUUUGGGAGGCCAAGGCGGGCGAAUCACCUGAGGUCAGGAGUUUGAGACCAGCCUGGCCAACAUGAAGAAACCUCAUCUCUACUAAAAAUACAAAAACAUUAGCUGGGCGGGGUGGCGUGUGCCUGCCAGUCCCAGCUACUCAGGAGACUGAGGCAAGAGAAUCGCUUGAACCUGGGA
rnacentral:lncRNA from 10 species